rnacentral:lncRNA from 1 species
GUCUGUACAUCCGUUCGUUUGUUCGUCCGUCCGUCCGUGUCUGUCCCGCUUCAGGUUAAAGUUUUUGGUCGAGGUAGUUUAAGAUGAAGUUGAGCAUUUUUUUCUUAUUUUAAUAUAUAUGCAAGUGGUAUGACCCCUCAAUUAGUAAACAUUUCAAAGAAAACAGUAGACAGAAUCAGGGCCGACUUUCUAUACUAACAUA